UCUCUAGAGCGACAUGAUCGAGAAACAAUGAAUUAGGCGGAAACGUUGCAACGCAUACACGUAAUCACAUUAUGUGUAGGCAAGAACAAUCACGAAGCUGUGACUAAUCGAUGAAAAAGGUAUUGCAUGCCUCAUGGCCCCCACCACCGCUCCAGCCACACGUGUGACUCCGCUGCUGGCCACGUGCCGCAGUGAGCGGCCACUGAAAGAAACGCCUCGUGAGUGUGGGGCUCGGCUGCCACUCCUCCAGACUUCCAAAUCCACCACCGGAGCCCCAAUGGCUGCCGCCGGAGACCUCAAGUCAGAGUACCACCAGGUCCUGCUCAACCGCCGCCGCGAACACCGAGCUCGUGGCGACCCAAUCCCGGUGCCUCUGACCAUGGAGCAAGGGAGUCCGAUGAAGGACCUAUUGUACCAAGGCAACCGUCCUGUGUCUCAGAAAGAUCAGGAUCCUCCAUCGAUCUGAGCAAACACAUUCCAUCUUCCAGAUCGAAGUUAUUGUGUCGAUUCUGCUGUUUUUUUCAAGACAUGGAGUCGUACCCAAGGAAAAAGGUGGAGAACUUCGAGGAGAAGCCGGUUGAAGAAAAUUUCUACUUGUUUACUGAGGUACCUUUUGGCCCAUACAGUUCUAUGAUCAAUCGAUUGAUUCGUUGCAGGUGUUAAGUGGAUACAGUGCACAAUGCACACUACUUGCAUCUUCGCAGUUGAAAUUGAGAUCAGUGAAAACCAACUACAUUUGAGCAGCCCAAAAGGUAAUAGAGGAGCAAUAAUAGUAAUCUGUGUUUUGUUAGGUGCCUGUUUCAUGUCAAUGCUUGUCAUAUACAAAUACAGAUUGGUAUUGCAUACAUGUGCUUCAGUUAGCACAUUUGCUCUCAUGUUACCACUCAGACCCUGUGUCUUGGUCCUUGAGUGCAAAGGAAAAAGGAUACAAUCCGUCAAAUUUUAGUCCUGAAGCAAGUA